rnacentral:rRNA from 1 species
AUUGAACGCUGGCGGCAGGCCUAACACAUGCAAGUCGAGCGGAUGACGGGAGCUUGCUCCUUGAUUCAGCGGCGGACGGGUGAGUAAUGCCUAGGAAUCUGCCUGGUAGUGGGGGACAACGUUUCGAAAGGAACGCUAAUACCGCAUACGUCCUACGGGAGAAAGCAGGGGACCUUCGGGCCUUGCGCUAUCAGAUGAGCCUAGGUCGGAUUAGCUAGUUGGUGGGGUAAUGGCUCACCAAGGCGACGAUCCGUAACUGGUCUGAGAGGAUGAUCAGUCACACUGGAACUGAGACACGGUCCAGACUCCUACGGGAGGCAGCAGUGGGGAAUAUUGGACAAUGGGCGAAAGCCUGAUCCAGCCACGCCGCGUGUGUGAAGAAGGUCUUCGGAUUGUAAAGCACUUUAAGUUGGGAGGAAGGGCAGUAAGUUAAUACCUUGCUGUUUUGACGUUACCGACAGAAUAAGCACCGGCUAACUACGUGCCAGCCGCCGCUGUAAUAC